CUGUGAGCUCGAUGAGUAGGGCGGGACACGUGGUAUCCUGUCUGAAUAUGGGGGGACCAUCCUCCAAGGCUAAAUACUCCUGACUGACCGAUAGUGAACCAGUACCGUGAGGGAAAGGCGAAAAGAACCCCGGCGAGGGGAGUGAAAAAGAACCUGAAACCGUGUACGUACAAGCAGUGGGAGCACGCUUAGGCGUGUGACUGCGUACCUUUUGUAUAAUGGGUCAGCGACUUAUAUUCUGUAGCAAGGUUAACCGAAUAGGGGAGCCGAAGGGAAACCGAGUCUUAACUGGGCGUUAAGUUGCAGGGUAUAGACCCGAAACCCGGUGAUCUAGCCAUGGGCAGGUUGAAGGUUGGGUAACACUAACUGGAGGACCGAACCGACUAAUGUUGAAAAAUUAGCGGAUGACUUGUGGCUGGGGGUGAAAGGCCAAUCAAACCGGGAGAUAGCUGGUUCUCCCCGAAAGCUAUUUAGGUAGCGCCUCGUGAAUUCAUCUCCGGGGGUAGAGCACUGUUUCGGCAAGGGGGUCAUCCCGACUUACCAACCCGAUGCAAACUGCGAAUACCGGAGAAUGUUAUCACGGGAGACACACGGCGGGUGCUAACGUCCGUCGUGAAGAGGGAAACAACCCAGACCGCCAGCUAAGGUCCCAAAGUCAUGGUUAAGUGGGAAACGAUGUGGGAAGGCCCAGACAGCCAGGAUGUUGGCUUAGAAGCAGCCAUCAUUUAAAGAAAGCGUAAUAGCUCACUGGUCGAGUCGGCCUGCGCGGAAGAUGUAACGGGGCUAAACCAUGCACCGAAGCUGCGGCAGCGACACUAUGUGUUGUUGGGUAGGGGAGCGUUCUGUAAGCCUGUGAAGGUGUACUGUGAGGUAUGCUGGAGGUAUCAGAAGUGCGAAUGCUGACAUAAGUAACGAUAAAGCGGGUGAAAAGCCCGCUCGCCGGAAGACCAAGGGUUCCUGUCCAACGUUAAUCGGGGCAG
rnacentral:rRNA from 1 species